UUUUGUACUAAUUUUUUGUUGUUUUUCAAUUUUCUGAGUUUUGAUUGCUUUCUUUAUUUGUAUAUAUAUGUGGUUUUUUGUUUUGCAACUUCAAUCCAAAUAAUGUUUAUUCCUUUUCUUCGACUGAGGUAACGCUAAUUCUUUGAUCUCUUUUUCCCUUUUUUUUAUAUAAGAUUUUUUAAUUUUUUUGCGCAAUUUUUAUAGUCUUCUCUUUUUUUUCUGUGCAUCCUGUGAUUUCUCUUCUCUUCUUCUCUUUAUUAUGCAGGUAUGAGAAAUAUCAUGUUGAUAGAGAUGAAGAAAAAGAAAAGCUAACUAUUAAUCCACUUAUGUAUUUUUUUUAAUUUAUUAUAUUUUUAGUAGAUAGUAGAAAACUUUAAAUUUUUUUAUUCAUUGCUUCAUACUUCAUAUUCAUAUAUAUGUAAGUUUUAGUUAUUUAUAAUUUUUUU
rnacentral:lncRNA from 1 species